CAAUAGCGUAUAUUAAAGUUGUUGCGGUUAAAAGCUCGUAGUUGGAUUUCUGUUGGGAACGACCGGUCCGCCCAUUGGGUGUGCAUCUGGCUUGUUCUCGGCAUCUUCUUGGUGAACGUUGCUGCACUUGACUGUGUGGAGCGCUACCCAGGACUUUUACUUUGAGGAAAUUAGAGUGUUUCAAGCAGGCAUAUGCCUUGAAUACAUUAGCAUGGAAUAAUAAGAUAGGACUUUGAGUCUAUUUUGUUGGUUUGCGAGUCAAAGUAAUGAUUAAUAGGGACAGUUGGGGGUAUUCGUAUUUCAUUGUCAGAGGUGAAAUUCUUGGAUUUCUGAAAGACGAACUACUGCGAAAGCAUUUACCAAGGAUGUUUUCAUUAAUCAAGAACGAAAGUUAGGGGAUCGAAGACGAUCAGAUACCAU
rnacentral:rRNA from 1 species